rnacentral:misc_RNA from 1 species
AAAAAAUCAUAGAAAAAUAUAUAUAUAAAUUUGAUUAUUGACUCGGUUUCGGUUCAAUAUAGUUCUAAUUCAGUUUCGGUUUAGUUCUUAGUGAAGAACCAGAAUCGAACUAAAAUAUCAAUACGGUUUCUCGGUUUGGUUUCGAGCUUCUAACAACUGUGCACAGCCUUAGCACCAACAAUAUUAUCUUAGCAAAAAGAGUCUACGUUUGAUGAUAUGCCAAAGUGGGAAUUGAAGGAUAUACUAAAGGACUAAAAAGGCAAUAACAAAUAUAUAAAUAAAGAAAUAAAUGUAGUAGUAGCCUAUUAUCAAGUUGUAGUUGAAAAUUCAAGCAAUCUCAUCAACCCCCAAAUUUAUGGUUAGGUUCCAAGAAAGUUAUUUAUCCGCCAUUUUAACUCUUUGAUUGUUUUACUGUAAAAAAUAAUAAUUUUUAAUUUUUUUUAUAUGGUGAUUACUUGAAGGCCAUUAAUGUCAUUGGAUAUGCUUUAAAAUGUCACGUUUUACAAUUAAUGAUUUAAUUGCUGACUAAUGGGUUCCAGUAGGUGUACCCCUUCUGAAAUAAGAGAGUUAAAGAGGAACUUUUUAAAAAAAUUUUUUUUCUUUCUUUCCCUUUAGCAAAGAUUAAAGAGAAUUUGGAGUAUAAUAUGCAUAUAUUGCUAUAAUUAAACACUACCUACACCAUGAAAGGAUAUUCUCUCCUCCAUCCCUUCUCAUUAGCAAAGUCAAUGCGCUUUUGUAAUCUGACCAGCUCUUUCUCAAUCCAAUCUUUCAUUAUAUCCUCACGCAGAUAUUUAGCCUUUUCUUCAAGCUCCGCAACAGUUGGCUUUGGAAGGAAUUCCUUCUCCACUUUUUGUUUCAAAUCAUCAAUCUCUUCCUCACAGAAGUCAGAAUCCGACAACAUGUAAAUGCAAACAUCUGUUGGAAAAUUGGAAACCCUUAGAACAAUGUCGCCAUUAUUUUCACCAGUUGUUGAGAUUUUCUUUAUCCCUGUUACUUGCAAAAGCUGGUGAGAAUUUCUCAGCACACAGUCUCUUGGGUCAUUUUUGACUCUCACAAAACUUCCGACUACCUUACGUUCAAAACUUUCAGGAUCUUUUAACAGCUCCUCCACUAAACUUUUUCUUAAGUAGACAAGUCUUAUAUUGUCCCGAACAAUAGAUGCAAAACAGCUUUCUCGGACGCUAGGAUCUACUUCCAACUCUUGCAAGUUUCCAUUAGAACUCACAGUUCUCUGCUUCUUGUGAAUUACCAGGUUCUUUUCAGUUUUUUUAUGGGAAAAGCCUUCAGCUUCAUCCAAUUUUUCAUCUUCAUCUGAUAGGUCUAAGUUCACAACAAAAUGAGCUUCUAGAAGAUUAUACAGUUUAUUCUUAUUCAUAGAUCUCCUCCUAAAAACCGAAUAAAGCCUUUCAUCACAAAGGAUCCUCUUCCUCUUUCUGGGAUCAAAAAGUCUUUUUCCUUGAAUAUAUUCACAAAUAAUUGAAUGAACAUCAUAUUGUGAUAACUCUUUUGUUGUAUCUUUACCAAGAGAGCUAAGAAACUCAAUAAGAGGCUUCGAUCCCCAUCCCAUAAAUUCCAGUGCCUUGGACCUCUUGCCUUUUACGGUUCUUUCAAACUCUUGAGUAUCAUCCAGAUCACUAUCAGACAAUAUCAAUAUAUUAUCUUUUUUGCCUUUGCCAAUCGUUUUUGACUUGAAGCUAUAAUUAGAAUGCUGACCCUUCUUCAACCUGGCAUCUGCUGUAUAGACAUCAUCCAAACUCAAGCCCUCAUCUUCUUUUAUGAUAUCCCAAUAUUCCAAGAACAGGCAUUCAUAUGUGUCUCGAUCUCCUAAGUCUAUCUUGCCCCCAUCAAUUUCCAAAUCCUCCUUAUCUUCAACAAGCAAUACAAGCUCCAAACACUCACUGCAUAGUCCUUUCUUCCCUCUAACAGGAGCAAACUCAGCAGCAAUGACGCAUUGCCCACAUAUGGCAUUAGGACAGCAGUAGCAAUAGAAUUUUGGAGAUUUAUGGCAUAUUAAACAAGAAUGCCGAUCACAAGUCCAGUGUUCUCCAGUCUUUACAAAGGAAUCGUCUUUUCCCACACACCCUGGAUGAUAAACCUUCAAACAAUCAUUGAAAUCGCAGAGAAUUAGGUCUCCACCAUCUUUGCAGACGAAACACCAAUCUUCGCAAUCUUUUUCUUUAACAAUCUGGCAUUUUUUAAGCUUUCUUCGGCUCUUCAUCUCGUCGGAAAAAUCAACUUCCACAAAAUCCUCUCCUUUGUCAGAUGAAAUUACGAUGCGACUAAUUUGGGAGAGAGAAACGUUCUG